rnacentral:lncRNA from 1 species
GUCUCUCUCUCCUGCUCUGCCAUGGUAAGACAUGCUUGCUUACCCUUCGCCUUCCACUGUGAUUAUUAGGUACCUGAGGCCUCCUCAGCUAUGCCUCCUAUACAGCCUGCAGAACUCAGACAAGUUCAUCUUCAAGAAAACUAAGAGAUCUCUUCCCCUGACAAAAAACAACUCCAUGUUUGAUGGGACUCAGACCUGGGCUCUUCUGUCACCUCUAGGUAGGGAGGUCUUGGAGAGCAAGUGAGACCAGAGUGUUCAUGGAAAGUCACCAUCCACAGACAUUGGAAAAAUAGUCAUUCCCAAUUUCUGCUAUGUGAUCCCGUUUAGGAGUCACCCUACCAAGUGGGUAUGAUGAUGAAGGUGAGCUGCUAAGAAAGAGGUUGAGAGACAGCUGAUGUUUGUUUCAAGCAAAUCUUCUUUAACCCGAGGCACCAGGAGCAGAGGGCCAGUGGGUAAAAAGGUUAAGUAGGAUGGAA